rnacentral:misc_RNA from 1 species
GAUGAAGAACGCAGCGAAAUGCGAUAAGUAAUGUGAAUUGCAGAAUUCAGUGAAUCAUCGAAUCUUUGAACGCACAUUGCGCCCGCCAGUAUUCUGGCGGGCAUGCCUGUUCGAGCGUCAUUUCAACCCUCAAGCACAGCUUGGUGUUGGGACUCGCGUUAAUUCGCGUUCCUCAAAUUGAUUGGCGGUCACGUCGAGCUUCCAUAGCGUAGUAGUAAAACCCUCGUUACUGGUAACCGUCGCGGCCACGCCGUUAAACCCCAACUUCUGAAUGUUGACCUCGGAUCAGGUAGGAAUACCCGCUGAACUUAAGCAUAUCAAUAAGCGGAGGA